GCUGGGUGCAGUGGAGCACAUCUGUAAUCCCAAUGGCUUGGGAGGCUGAGGCAGGAGGCUCGAGUUCAAAGCCAGCUUCAGUAAAAGCAAGGUACUAAGCAACUUGCUGAUACCCUGUCUCUA
rnacentral:sRNA from 1 species